GUAAUUUUCCUAAUUGCAUUUGCAACCCUAGUUAUCAAUCAGUUGAACAAACCAAGAAAACCCUUCAAAACCCGCAACUCAGCAAGGUUACUACUCACUGUUCAUCUGCCACAGAGAGAUAUACAGAAAGAAGCUGAGACGUUAUAAAAGAUGGCUGAUGUUCUCAUGCCCAAGUCCAAGAAAUCCAAUUUGUUGUAAUCCGGAAUAUCUUUCCAAGCUUGUGACAACAAUCUUGUUCAUGAAUUGAGAGGAGGAAGCCAAACAGAUGAUAUACACCUCUUUGUAAUCCCUUUUAUUAUUCAUUGAGAAGUGACAAAUGGGUCACACAGUUAUACUUCAGAAAUUACUUGUUGAGGUUCCUUAUAUGCAUAAUCUGAAUUUGAUCUCCAACCAAACGGACCUUAGUUAUGGUACUGGCCAUGGGUUGUCAACAAAAACAUCAGCAAUUCACUUCAGGUUUUCUACCAGGAGUAACUGCAAAAUUCAACCUUCUCUACAACGGAGGGGAGAUGUUGGUUUUAGAAAAAAUGCACUUACGUUGCGGUGUAGUGCCCAACAAAUAGGUAUUUGCCUUGAUAGAGUUAACAAGGAUGACCAGGAUGACUGGAGCUCAGAUAGAUAUGAGAUGGGUGUAGAGAAGAAACUUAGAGAACAAAUGCAUUUAAAGAAGCAUCUUCAUUCCUCUGCAGUGCCUUCAGAUGGGUCCUUUGUUGGGAAUGAUGAAGAGACUAAUAAUGAAAUCCUUCAACGUUUCUGUAGUUAUGGGAAGUUAGUCGAGGCAUCUAAGUUGAUAGAAGUGAUGGCUCGUCGAAACCAAAUUCCGCAUUUCCCAUCUUGCAAAAACUUAAUCAGGGGCCUUAUCAAGGUUGCCCAGACAGACAAAGCUUCCAGAAUCUUGAAAAUCAUGGUCAUGUCCGGUGGCGUUCCUGAUAUUAUCACAUACAACAUGUUAAUUGGUGGGCUAUGUAAGAAGGGGCAGUUAAUAUAUGCCACUGACAUCUUAGAGGACAUGAGCUUAAGUGGUUGCCCCCCUGAUGUGAUUACUUAUAACACGAUAUUGCGCUCUAUGUUUGAUCAUGGUAGGUUUGAUCAAGCCAUUGGAUUUUGGAAGGAUCAACUUAGAAAGGGAUGCCCUCCUUAUGUGAUCACAUAUACAAUUCUCAUCGAGUUAGUUUGCGAGCACUGUGGGAUUGUACGGGCUUUAGAAGUAUUGGAAGAUUUGGCAAUUGAAGGGUGUUAUCCUGAUAUUGUGACCUACAAUUCACUGGUUAAUUUUACUUGUAAACGAGGGAACUUUGAUGAUACAACUUUGGUUAUUUAUAAUCUUCUAUCACGUGGGAUGGAACCCAAUGCUAUAACCUACAACACGUUCCUCCACUCUCUUUGUAGCCGUGGCUAUUGGGAUGAGGUAGAUGAGAUCUUCUCAUUCAUGAAUAACACUUCCCAUUCUCCUUCUGUCGUAACUUACAAUAUCUUGAUCAAUGGAUUCUGCAAGUAUGGGCUGGUACAUCGUGCGAUUGAAUUCUUUGCCCAUAUGGUUUGCCAAAGCUGCUCUCCUGACAUCAUCACCUAUAACAUCCUCCUGCGUGCUCUUUGUAAAGAGGAAAUGACAGACGAAGUUCUCCAAAUUCUUCAUAUUUUAGGUGAUACUGGUUGUUCUCCUAGUUUGAUCACAUAUAAUAUCGUGAUUGAUGGAUUGGCAAAAAAUGGUUGUAUGGAGAGAGCAAUGGAAGUGUAUGGGCGCAUGAUAGAGAAUGGGAUUAUUCCUGAUGAUAUCACCCAUCGAUGUUUAUUAUGGGGGUUUUGUCAGGUGGGCCUAGUUGAGGAAGGUGUGGAAAUAUUGAAGAAGAUGGUUAAGAGGAACCACAGAGUCCAAAAUAGUUCUUACAGAUGCAUGAUCGUGGGAUUAUGUAAGAACAAGAAAGUGGAUAUUGCAAUACAGGUCUUACAAAUAAUGAUUUCGAAUCGAUGUCAACCUGAUGAGGAUGUUUAUUCCGCUAUAAUCAAAGGGGUAUCUGCGGCUGGUAUGACAGAAGAGGCUACCGAAUUGCGACAGAAGUUGAUUGAAUUGAAGGUUUUCAGAGAAGAAACCAUGUGGGAUUGAACAGAUAAAUUCAAAAUUUUUAUUAUGCUGCUACAAGGCUUAUCACCUGCUUGAGGCAUAUGACAGUCUUGAAAGGUGAUCCUUGUUUACAAAGUUAAUCUGUCAUCUGUAUCUUGGUGAAUAUUCCAUCUUUUAGAAAUUGACUGUUCCAUCAAUUCCUUUUUGGCUUUUGGGAUGCAUUGACGAAUUUGAACCACAAGAUUGACAAGGGCUGCUGCCUCCUAACAGCAAAUUCUUGGAUACGAGCUUCAUGGUUUUCCUCGUAUUCCAGAAUCUAUGAAUCUGAGUGAUCUAGUUGGAAGAUUGUUCCUGCUUCAAACUGGAUAUACUGUUUUUUGGUAGAUGUAGCAACUUUGAAAAGAGUUUUAAUGUUUUUUCAAUUUCGGAAAGUUUAACUGGUUGCAUAAGCUUUCUGUAAGAGUAGACGUUAUAGUGCGGUAACAACGAUGUUAUAUAUCACAGCAGCUGCAGGUCUUUUGUACCUAACAAUUCACUUUGAGAAUGUUUAACUUUCUUGUCUUCAGAGAUGUUAUGCAUUGUAUAUCAAAUCAUUUUGGGUUUGGUUUUA